rnacentral:tRNA from 1 species
GAGGAUAUAGCUCAAUGGUAGAGUGUAUACCUACCAUGCUAUGAGGUCCUGGGUUCAAUCCCCAGUACCUCCA